GCCCGGGCUCAAUAACAACCUCCUUAUUUACCUGAAUCUUAGGGCGGCUUACUCAUAGAUACUAUUUCUUUGCUUUUCUUUACUUGUUUCUUUAACUUUUGAGGUGACAAUGAGCGUUAGCCCCCGAUAUAAGGCCAAAACGCGCUAAUGAAACUUAUACGAAACAGCUUAAGCUCGCAUGCUUCAAGCGGCAAAGAGCGAGUUUGAUAUGUGGAUUUUUGUUAAAGGCUUCUCCAUAUUAAUCCCAUUUAAAAGAGAUGAUGACCUUUGGAAGGGAACAAAUCGCGUCUAUGAAUGACGGACUCUGCAUCAGCGCCGCCCAUUCUUGAUUGAGUGCGGUGGAAAGAGAAAAAUGAAGCGCAACUCUUGCA
rnacentral:sRNA from 2 species